UCAUGCCGCCGUCUCCAACGUGCGCUCCACCGCCGUCUGCGCUCCAGAGGUGAACAUGGCAGUCGUCUCGGACAGGUCGCUGCAAGUGGCCGUGGUGGUGUCGUUCGCCGCCGGCUUCGUGGCGGGCUGGCAGGCCAACAGGAUGAGGAGGAGGUUCCUGGACUGGAGGAAGAAGCGGCUGCAAGACCAACUGUCAGCGACUCAGAAGAAGCUGGAUCUGGCCUGAGAGGUCAGGACAAGUACUCAGCUGCUGUGGGACUACAGGCCUGUACUCAUAGGAGAAAUCCUUGGUUCAGAUCCGGAAGAAGCUGCUGUCUCCUGGACGAAUGGAGAAGACUCCUCAUCGUGAUCGACCUGCUCUGCCACCCUGUUCCUGCCACACCUUCCUGAUCAAGAAUGGACUUGAUAUUUACUAUAUGGAAACACAACCAUACACACCUACACAUGGCAGCUUCCUGCCUGCCCUCAGACUCUAGUGCGAUCAAAUACAUGAACUGUGUCUGCAGUGUUUUUCCUUCUCGGCGUGUCUCCUGUCUACAUCUGGUCCAAUAAAUGAUUGUGUUUUUCAUGUUUUA